CGCACAUUGCGCCCGCUAGUAUUCUGGCGGGCAUGCCUGUCCGAGCGUCAUUUCAACCCUCAAGCCCUGCGGUUUGGUGUUGGGGAUCGUCUCUAUGAGACGUCCCCCAAAUUUAUUGGCGGACUCGCUGUGGCCUCCUCUGCGUAGUAGCACACCUCGCUCAGGAAACCCAGCGCGGCCCAAGCCGUAAAACCCCCCAACUUCUGAAUGUUGACCUCGGAUCAGGUAGGAAUACCCGCUGAACUUAA
rnacentral:misc_RNA from 1 species